rnacentral:rRNA from 1 species
GAUGAACGCUGGCGGCGUGCCUAAUACAUGCAAGUCGAGCGAACAGACGAGGAGCUUGCUCCUCUGACGUUAGCGGCGGACGGGUGAGUAACACGUGGAUAACCUACCUAUAAGACUGGGAUAACUUCGGGAAACCGGAGCUAAUACCGGAUAAUAUAUUGAACCGCAUGGUUCAAUAGUGAAAGACGGUUUUGCUGUCACUUAUAGAUGGAUCCGCGCCGCAUUAGCUAGUUGGUAAGGUAACGGCUUACCAAGGCAACGAUGCGUAGCCGACCUGAGAGGGUGAUCGGCCACACUGGAACUGAGACACGGUCCAGACUCCGACGGGAGGCAGCAGUAGGGAAUCUUCCGCAAUGGGCGAAAGCCUGACGGAGCAACGCCGCGUGAGUGAUGAAGGUCUUCGGAUCGUAAAACUAUGUUAUUAGGGAAGAACAAAUGUGUAAGUAACUAUGCACGUCUUGACGGUACCUAAAUAGAAAGCCACGGCUAACUACGUG